UACGUAGGGUGCAAGCGUUAAUCGGAAUUACUGGGCGUAAAGCGUGCGCAGGCGGUGAUGUAAGACAGGUGUGAAAUCCCCGGGCUUAACCUGGGAACUGCAUUUGUGACUGCAUCGCUGGAGUGCGGCAGAGGGGGAUGGAAUUCCGCGUGUAGCAGUGAAAUGCGUAGAUAUGCGGAAGACACCGAUGGCGAAGGCAAUCCCCUGGGCCUGCACUGACGCUCAUGCACGAAAGCGUGGGGAGCAAACAGG
rnacentral:rRNA from 1 species